rnacentral:lncRNA from 12 species
AUGCUUGAUGGAGCGCUUCACGCCAGGGUGCACGCAAGUGCGCGCUUAGGCUGCCAGGGCAGGCCUGCGUCCAUCCCCGCGACCAGGUGUCCCCAGUCCCGGGGAAAGAUGUCUGGGGAGAAUAGCACCCGAGUCAGUGAACUGCAGAGAGGCUUGCAGACGCCAGCCAAGUAUGCCUUCAAGGCCUGUAACUCCAGCACCCACCCUAAACGAGCAGCGAGCUGCUGCUCAGGACUGGGUCCUGGGAGAUUGCUGCCGAUCCCGGCCCCCAGGAAGGCCUCUCCAGGGCCCGCCCUCACACUGAUCCAGUGCGCUCCCAAUGCCCUUCCAGUUCACUCGGGACAGCCGGGACCCGCAGGCAGACGCGCAGACAGACAGACGCCGCGGUGCCGGGCGGUCUCCGGCUGUGCCCGGGUCUGCGAAUCAAAGGAGGGGAGUACUCCUGUCACCCUCUCCCCCUGCUCUGCUCGCCCUGGCAACACUGAACGGGGCUCUGACUGGUCAGCUUUCGGGGAUGAGCCCCCUCCUCAGGCACUGCUCAGCGUUUGUGCUGCAUCUCUUCGCUUUAAGCAGGGGACCUUCACCUGUCCAGGGACCCCAGAAAAUUAUAUGCAAAAUCGACUACUGAAGUGCUUUUUUUCUUCUUUGGUGCAGAGAAAGGCCAUCUUUUUAUGAGCUUCUCCAAAGGUCUACAUUCUACGGAAGGUUAAGAACCUCUCUUCCGCACCAGGACUUCAGGGUUUUUUUACCCUUCGUGCCAGGUGGAGCGUUCCAGAUUGGGUGUUCUUCUCCUGCAUUCACUCUCAGGGCAGUUGGCUGUGAGAGACAGCACAACAUCAGUGCGUAGACAUCUCAAAAAUGUUCCUUCCAAAAGUUUAAAGGGAAACUGACUGUAGGAAAGGGCUGCCACUGCCAUCAAGGUCAAGGCAGCUGGUUAGAGGCUAAAAGCCAAGCUCAGGCCCCCUGGCCCUUAAUCUAACACGGGGUAAGAAUCCCCAAGUAUCAUGAGUGCAAAAUGGGGCCCAAAUCGACCUCCAAAAUGCCCUAGGUUACCAGGGUGGCCAAUGGUCAUUGUUACUCUUUAAUGACACGUACUAAGCUGGUUUGAAAUACAAAAACUUGCAUAGAGCGAGUGGGAAGGUAAAAGGCCCUGCUUAGCUCUUUCCUUAAUUAGUGGGCCGUUAACCUUUCGGAUGACAAGGUAUCCACAGAGAAGCUGAUGAAAACUAUGGAUUUUCUCCAGAAAAAUACACCAAACGUUCACAAUUUCACAAAGAGCAUCCAGUGCUCUGCAGACCUUUGACGGCCAUCCGUGUCACUUAACUUCAACGGAAGGGAAGAUCGCAGCUCCGGGCAGAGGCUAGUUUGGGGAACAUCCUUGGGGACCGUGUCUCUCUCGAAGAGACUUGUCCCCAGGAGUGUGUGGGAUGCCCAUCCACACACAGGUGCGCACACACACACACACACAGUCGGUCAGCAGACCCACCCGGGCACACCUUGCACAGCCGGCCCCGCAUCCACAGCCGAGCUGCGGGUAGCCAGGAGAAAAGUUCAAGUCGCCAGCCCAGGCUUAGCUGAAAAGGUCUUUAACACCCCAGCCCCUCCAGCCUCAUUGUUUAUCCAUCUGAGCGACUCCCCUUCCCUGGCCCGCUCCCACCCCCACUUUUCUGAGGUCGACUAUAAAAAUAAACUAUUUUUCCUUGUUAAUAAAUCUCCGCCC